UAACAAGGAUUCCCCUAGUAACGGCGAGCGAAGCGGGAAGAGCUCAAAUUUGAAAGCUGGCACCUCCGGUGUCCGCGUUGUAAUCUCGAGACGUGUUUUCCGUGCGGCUCUAUGGACAAGUCCCUUGGAAUAGGGCAUCGUAGAGGGUGAGAAUCCCGUACUUGCCAUGGAAGAACCGUGCUUUGCGAUACACGCUCUAAGAGUCGAGUUGUUUGGGAUUGCAGCUCAAAAUGGGUGGUAGACUCCAUCUAAAGCUAAAUAUCGGGGAGAGACCGAUAGCGAACAAGUACCGUGAGGGAAAGAUGAAAAGCACUUUGGAAAGAGAGUUAAAAGUACGUGAAAUUGUCGAAAGGGAAGCACUUGAAGUCAGCCAUGCUGCUUGAGACUCAGCCUGGCCUUUGGGCUUGGUGUAUUUCUCGGUGGCAAGCCAGCAUUGGUUUGGGUCGUCGGAGAAGCGCAUAGGGAAUGUAGCGUCUCCGGACGUGUUAUAGCCUUAUGCAGGAUACGACGACCUGGAUCAAGGAACGCAGUGUGCCCUCUGGGCGGGUCUUCGGACACCUUCACACUUAGGAUGCUGGCGUAAU
rnacentral:rRNA from 3 species